CCAACACUGACCAUUCCUUAUGGAAAAGUUUUGAGAACUCUAGAAUCUCUUACUAAUAAAAGUGGUUCAUUUAUUUUUCUGCAUAUACAAAGACAAAAUUGACCAAAUAUUUGGCGACUAUUUUAAUGUAGAAAGGAAGUAGACCAAACUCUAAUCCAAUCUUGUGUAGACAAUUGACAAAUCCAAUUCUAAAUAAUGAAAUCGUAACAAAGAAUAUUAAAAUCACAAAAUUAUAAAUUUGGGUAUAACGUAAUGUUGGUUCCCAACAUUUUUAUUUUGUCUCAAUUUUGAUCUCAUGAAAUGUUUAUAAGACAUUUCAUCAACAACCAUUCGGACUUCACGCAAAUUGUCCUCAUUGACGACUUCCAUCCAAAUCUUGUUAAGUUAGGCAGGUGCCUUGCAUGACCAUUUUGGCAAAGGGAAAUUUUGUCUACAAAAUAAAAGUUUUAGCAUUCUUAUUCUAACUUUAGACAAUAAUAGAAUAGUUAUAGAAUGUUCCUAUUCAUCUUUCACUGCAUUUAAAACCGUAUAUUAAUCAAGGGUGCUUAUCAGUGGCAAAUCUAAUAUCCAAGUCCAGCUAGGAUGGGUUGACCGUUGAUCGUUGACCAUCGACGAUCGUAAUAGUCCAAUAUUACGAUCAAUUACAAUUGAUUAAAAAAAAAUAAAAAUAAAGUACACAUGGGUCUUGUCAAUUAAAUUUUAUCACUUUGACUAAUUUCCUAAACGUAAAUUCUCAAAUCAAUAAUCAUAACUCACAAAACACUAAUUACUUAUCAUAAUCACAAUUCACAACAUAAUUUCAUAAACAUAAAUUUCCAAAUCAAUAAUCAUUCCUCAUCAAAAUAUAAAUUACUUAUCAUAAAUCGCGAAUGCAAAUAUAAUUUCGUAAACAUAAAUUCCCAAAUCAAUAAUCAUAACUCAUAAAACGUAAAUUACUUAUCAUAAUUCAUAAAUCACAAUUCGCAAUUUUUUAAUUCCCAAAUGAAUAAAUCUCAACAUAUUUAUCAUCAACUAAUCAACUUAAAUCACUGACCUGAGGAAGGAAUCCCUUAGCAUUAAUAUUGGCUCCAAGUCUCCAACCAGUGAACCAGAGAACUUGCUCACCAAGUGGACAAAGAAUUCUGCGAUUUUGUUCCAAUUUCACGCCAAAUUGAUACCCUUAAACUGUUAAACAUGGUGUUGAGCAGUUAGCACCUACAAAUUACAAUACAAUAAAAUUAAAUUUGUCAAUUUAGCAGUUAGCACUUAGUACAUACAAACAGGCAAUCAUACGAUUCAUACCCUGUGAAAAUUUUCAUUUUUUCAUACGAUUCAUAGCCUGUGAAAAUUUUCAUUUAAAAAAUGUAAGCACUCACAUAAUAUAUUGGCACUGUUCAAUUAUGUAAUUAUAUCCCUUACCCUCAGUCCAAUACUUGAGGAAUAUAAUAAUUAACAGAAGUAAAUUAUGAAGAUAACUCAAAUUGCAGUAAUCUUAUUUUUAAUUAAAUUUUGUACUUUUAAAUUUUAAUACACCCUAUUUAUUAAAAAUACAAUAUUUUAUGGCUUAUUGUAUAAUUAAUUAGUAUAUCAACAGAUAACACAACAAUAUAUCUAUCUUUACUCCAAAACUCAAAAAGAUGUAAGAUUUUCAUAAUGAAGUCAAAAGUCAUGUUAGAAAAAAAAUUAGAAAUCAACGGAACCGGCGUCGCACACUACAGCCUACAGGGCAGGGGCGAAACCGGCGGUCUCCGGCACCGUCGUGUCUCGUCACUUGUGUGCAGCAUCAUGUUGGUAGGGGUGAGCGGGGAAGGAAGAAUUGAAUAAAUUGGAAAAGGGUUUUCUUCCAACCUUCCAC
rnacentral:lncRNA from 1 species